GCUAUAGAUCGGACGGCUGGUGUAGCUGAUGCUGAGAUGGCUGGAAAGAAGUUCAGUUUUACUGUCCUAAACGAAUGGCAAAUUCUCUCGUACCUGAUAUUCCAUCCAGCUUCAAUGGAGUAUUAGGGAAGGGCAUAUCUGACUUUUCACAUCUUUACAAUAGUAAAAAGUAAAAAAAAACAUUUGUCUCCCUCAGCCCCACCUCACCAAGACCCUUUCCUCCCUAACGUCCGGCGCCAUCCGCACCCUCCUCCAACGUGCCGCUGCCGCCCUCCCUUCGUCCUCCAGCGCGCCAGCGCCGUCCUCUCCCUCCUCCAACACAUCGCCUCCGCCCCUCCACCC
rnacentral:lncRNA from 1 species